rnacentral:tRNA from 1 species
CGGGCUCCGGAUAGGAAGACUCUCCCGCUCCUUCUGGGAGCGGACACCGUAGCUCCCGCCGUUCAGCGGCGGUAGAGCUGGCC